ensembl:lncRNA
CUACACCGCAGCCUCAGCAAUGCCAGAUCUGAGCCUUGUCUUGGACCUACACCACAGCUCAUGGCAAUGCCGGGUCCUUAGCCCACUGAGCGAGGCCAGGGAUGGAACAUGCACCCUCAUGGUUCCUAGUCGGAGUCUUUAACCACUGCACCACGACAGGAACUCCAGUUAGAUGUCUGUAGACACUGUGCUGGACUGCGCAGAAUCGAACAUCUCCAUUUUCCCAGAGGGCACUGCUGGGCAGCUGUGACCUCGAGGUUCUGAUGAAGUGAAAGCUUUGUUCUUUUUAACUUCUGUACUGCUUCUGGAUUCUGCUGCUUUAAUCAAGGUACCUGGUGAAAUGUAUAUUGGAACAGCUGAUAAAUAUUAAGAUGGAUUUGUGCUGAAUUCCUCUAGUGGAGUAUUUGUGAAAAUACUGCUGUUAGGGUAUUCAAAGUUAGGCUUCUUGAGAAAGCAGGUAGAAAUUGAAAGCAUAGAAGAGCUUUGUUUUUUGAGGCGGUUAUCUAGUACCUAGUUAACGAAAAGGAUGAUGAAGCUGUACAGCUAUGUUGAAGAUAAGUGUAGGACUUAAAAAAUCAACAGUAUGAAGGCUCAGCAUUGUUUCUAAAGAUUAGGUUCACAUUUAUUAUUAUUUUUUAAUUUUUAAUUUUUUUAAAUUUUUUUUGUCUUUUUUUUUGCUAUUUCUUGGGCCGCUCCCGUGGCACGUGGAGGUUCCCAGGCUAGGGGUCGAAUCAGAGCUGUAGCCACAGGCCUACGCCAGAGCCACAGCAACGCGGGAUCCGAGCCGCGUCUGCAACCUACACCACAGCUCACGGCAACGCUGGAUCGUUAACCCACUGAGCAAGGGCAGGGAUCGAACCCGCAACCUCAUGGUUCCUAGUCGGAUUUGUUAAGCACUGCGCCACGACGGGAACUUCCAAGAUUAGGUUUUUAAAAACAGCCUUAUGAGGUAUAAUUGACUUAAAAUAAGCUCUGCAUAUUUAAUGUGUACAAUUAUACGUCAGUGAGGCUGCUCGAAGCCCUGCUGCUUCCUGCUGCUGCUGUUCAGUCUUUUCUCUUUUGUUUUGGAUGCUUUCUAUUGCUUUACCUUUAAGUUUGCUAAUAUUUUCUUUUGCAAUGUCCAGUCUGCUCUUAAUACAUUGUAUGUAGUAUAUUUUUCAUCUCAGACAUUAUAGGUUUCAUAUCUAGAAGUUUGAUUUGGAUCUUUUUUUAAAAUGUAUUUUAUGUCCCUGCUUAACAUAGUCUUUCCUUUGAAUUCUCACAUUGAAAUACAGUUACAGUUGUCUUAAUACCUUUGUCCACUAAUUAUGUCAUCUCUCUCAUUUAUUUCUUUUUUCUUUUUUCUUUUUUUAGGGCCACACCCACGAAAUAUGGAGGUUCCCAGGCUAGGGGUCUAAUCAGAGCUGUAGCUGCCGGUCUGCGCCACAGCCACAGCAACACCAGAUCUGAGCCACAUCUGCGACCUACACCAUAGUUCACAGCAAUGCCAGAUCCUUAACCCACUGAGCGAGACCGGGGAUCUAACCCACAACCUCAUGGCUCCUAGUUGGGUUCACUAACUGCUGAGCCAUGACGGGAACUCUGAUUCCUAUAAAUAUUUUCUUGAGUUUUGUUCUGGAACAUGAUGCAGUUCCUUACAAAUGGUUUGUUCAUUUCAAAUCUUGUUAGGUGGGAUCAGAGCAGCAUUUAGUUUAGGGCUAAUUAUUUCCCACUACUGAGCCAAAACUCUUCUGAGUACUCUAAUAGUUUGUUAAUUCUGAGGUUUUCCACUCUGUUGGGAAUCAGUCCUCUUCUUGGCCCUGUGUGAGCCUCAUGAAUUAUCCUUGUUAUUCUUUUUUUGUUGUUGUUGUUGUCUUUUUGCCAUUUUCUUGGGCCGUUUUCGUGGCAUAUGGAAGUUCCCAGGCUAGGGGUCGAAUUGGAGCUAUAGCCGCUGGCCUAUGCCAGAGCCACAGCAACGUGGGAUCCAAGCCACGUCUGUGACCAACACCACAGCUCACGGCAACGCCGGAUCCUUCACCCACUGAGCAAGGCCAGGGAUCGAACCCGCCACCUCAUGGUUCCUAGUCAGAUUCGUUUCCACUGCACCACAACGGGAACUCCAGUCCUUGUUAUUCUUUUGGGUAGUUCUCCCUCCCGCUUUGCUGUUGUUUUUUGUUUUUGUUUUUUGCUUUUUAGGGCCAAACCCACGGCAUAUGGAAGUUCCCAGGCUUGGGGUCCAAUUGGAGCUCUUGCUUCCACCUUACACCACAGCCACAGCAACACCAACGUGGGAUCUGAGCCUCGUCUUCCACCUACAGCAUAGCUCACUGCAAUGCCAGAUCCUUAACCCACUGAGGGAGGCCAGGGAUCGAACCUACGUCCUCAUGGAUACUAGUCAGAUUGCCCCCCACCCCCGUUGGAUGCCCCUCAUCACAUGGAGCUCCCAGGCCAAGGAUCAGAUCCGAGCCGAAGACCUAAGCACUAGCUGCGGCAAUGCCAGAUCCCCAACCCACUGUGCCGGGCUGGGGAUCAAACCAGUAUCCUGGUGCUCCCAAGACGCUGCUGGUCCUGUUGCACCACAGUGGGAACUCCUGGGUGGUUCUUCAUAUGGAAACCUCAAGUAUUUUCUUCACAGGCGUCUGCUGGCCAGUACUGUCCUGAGUACGCAAGGAGGAGAGCUCUGGACUCCUCUUUCUGUGCAGCUCUCUCUUUUGUGGAUAACCUGCCCUGCAGACUCGAGCUGCCUUGUCCGCCUUGGCCUCAACUUGUCUCUGAGUGUGGGGAGACUGCCUAACUUCCCCUGGAUUCCUUCUCCCUGUGCUGCCAGUUGGAAACCCUCCAAGCAGUAAACUGGGGUGGUUGUAGGAUUUGCUUCAUUCUUUCCUUGUUUCUCAGGGAUCACUCUACUUCGUAACUUUGUGUCUUAAAAACUAUUGCUUUGUAUAUUCCAGUUUUCAGUUGUUCACCAUGGUGGAGUAAAUCUGGUUCAUGUCAUCCCACCUGCCUAGAAGCAGAAGUGUAAACUUUUUUUAAAAAAGGGAAGUAGGUAAUUCUCAUUGUGGCUCAGCGGAAACGAUCCUGCCUAGUAUCCAUGAGGACACAGGUGCGAUCCCUGGCCCUGCUCAGUGGGUUAAGGAUAUGGUGUUGCCAUGAGCUGUGGUGUAGGUCUGGCAUUGCUAUGGCUGUGGUGUAGGCUGGGAGCUCCAGCUCAAAUUUGACCCCCAAGCCUGGAAACUUCCAUAUGCCACAGGUGUGGCCC